GGUGGCACAGUGGUAAAGUGCUUGGCUGCUAACCGAAAGGUUGGUGGUUCGAACCCACCAUCCA
rnacentral:tRNA from 1 species